GUCUACAGCCAUACCACCCUGAAUGCGCCCAAUUUCAUCUGAUCCCAGAAGCUAAGCAGGUCAGGCCUGGUUAGUACAUGAGUGGGAAAAAUUGUUCUCUUACUAAUGCAGGCAAACACUAAAUU
rnacentral:rRNA from 1 species